rnacentral:rRNA from 1 species
AGAGCGAACGGUGGAUGCCUUGGCUAGUAGAGGCGAUGAAAGACGUGCCAGGCUGCGAUAAGUCUCGGGGAGCCGUCAAGGGGCUUUGAUCCGGGAAUUUCUGAAUGGGGCAACCCAAUACAUAGCGAUAUGUGUUACCAUUAAUGGAGCCAACGCGGGGAACUGAAACAUCUAAGUACCCGCAGGAAGAGAAAUCAAUAGAGAUUACGCUAGUAGCGGCGAGCGAACGCGUAAGAGGGCAAACCACUAGUUUACUAGUGGGGUUGUAGGACCGCAACAUAGACUAGGAUCUGAUAAUAGAACAAUCUGGAAAGGUUAGGCAUAGAGGGUGAUACUCCCGUAUAUGAAAUCACAUCCUUACUUAGCGGUAUCCUGAGUAGGACGGGACACGUGAAAUCCUGUCUGAAGCCGGGUCGACCACGAUCCAACCCUAAAUACUACUACUAGACCGAUAGCGUACAAGUACCGUGAGGGAAAGGUGAAAAGAACGGCGGUGAGCCGAGUGAAAUAGAACCUGAAACCGUUUGCUUACAAUCAUUCAGAGCACUAUGCUAUACUCUUUAAAAUUAAUCCAGCUUGGCUUUUUAGCCCUUUUUUAUGAAACUGCGACUGCGGCAGCCAGAUCCGGCUAGCCUUGUCUUGUUUCAUAAAAAAUCAUCUAAAAAUCCUGCGCAUUUGAAAUUCUAAAUUUUGAUCUGAUAAAAUUUCAUCAUAAAUGACACAAACAGAGCUUUAUGGUCUAAAUUUAGAAGUAACGAUUAACGAUUAGUUUUAAUGAGUAUAGCAGUGUGAUGGACUGCCUUUUGCAUAAUGAGCCUGCGAGUUGUGGUGUCUGGCGAGGUUAAGGAAACCCGGAGCCGUAGCGAAAGCGAGUCUUAAUAGGGCGAUUAGUCAGAUGCUGCAGACCCGAAACGAUGUGAUCUAUCCAUGAGCAGGUUGAAGCCGGUGUAAGAGCCGGUGGAGGACCCAACCGACGGCCGUUGAAAAGGCUCCGGAUGACUUGUGGAUAGGGGUGAAAGGCCAAUCAAACAUCGUGAUAGCUGGUUCUCUCCGAAAUAUAUUGAGGUAUAGCGUCGUGUAGUAGUUAUAAGGGGUAGAGCACUGAAUGGGCUAGGGCAUACACCAAUGUACCAAACCCUAUCAAACUCCGAAUACUUAUAGCGUAACCACGGCAGUCAGGCGGCGAGUGAUAAAAUCCGUCGUCAAGAGGGAAACAACCCGGACUAACAGCUAAGGUCCCCAAAUCUCAUUUAAGUGGAAAACGAUGUGAAGUUACUGAAACAACCAGGAGGUUGGCUUAGAAGCAGCCAUCCUUUAAAGAUAGCGUAAUAGCUCACUGGUCUAGUGAUUUUGCGCGGAAAAUAUAACGGGGCUAAAAUGAGUACCGAAGCUUUAGACUUGCACUUAAUCAUUUAUACUUGGCUUGGCUUUUGAGCGUCUUUAAAUGAGCUCGUAAAAAUAAAUGCUCACGAACUAUAUGUUCGCUCCGCUUUAUUUUUACGUCGCAACAUUUAAAUCCAUCUCAAAAAUCCUACGCCAUCUUGAGUUCAAAUUUGAGCUAAACGUCUUAAUCUAAAAUUUUAUAAAUUUCAAAUUUCUUAGAAUUUUAAAAUUUAGCAACAUAAAGCAAAAAGACAAGCCGCAAGAAAAGUAUAAAUCAUUAAGUGCAAGUGGUAGGAGAGCGUUCCAAUCAGCGUCGAAGCCGUACCGGUAAGGAGCGGUGGAGCGGUUGGAAGUGAGCAUGCAGGCAUGAGUAGCGAUAAAAUACGUGAGAAUCGUAUUCGCCGUAAACCCAAGGUUUCCUACGCGAUGCUCGUCAUCGUAGGGUUAGUCGGGUCCUAAGCAAAGUCCGAAAGGGGUAUGCGAUGGAAAAUCGGUUAAUAUUCCGAUACCGAUAUCAGUGUGCGACGGAAGGACGCUUAAAGUUAGUGGAGCUAGCGGAUGGAAGUGCUAGUCUAAGGAAGUAGGUUGAGUUAUAGGCAAAUCCGUAACUCUUUAUCCGAGAUCUGAAAGGCUUCUGACGCUCUUCGGAGUAGAUGAAGAAUCCAUGAUACUAUCGAGCCGAGAAAAGUUUCUAAGUUUAGCUGAUAUCGCCCGUACCGUAAACCGACACAGGUGGGUGGGAUGAGUAUUCUAAGGCGCGUGGAAGAACUCUCUUUAAGGAACUCUGCAAAAUAGCACCGUAUCUUCGGUAUAAGGUGUGCCUAGCUUCGUUAAGAAUUUACUUCGUAAGCGAAGAAGGUUACAACAAAGAGUCCCUCCCGACUGUUUACCAUAAACACAGCACUCUGCUAACUCGUAAGAGGAUGUAUAGGGUGUGACGCCUGCCCGGUGCUCGAAGGUUAAUUGAUGAUGUUAGCUUACGCAAAGCAUCUGAUCGAAGCCCGAGUAAACGGCGGCCGUAACUAUAACGGUCCUAAGGUAGCGAAAUUCCUUGUCGGUUAAAUACCGACCUGCAUGAAUGGCGUAACGAGAUGGGAGCUGUCUCAAAGAGGGAUCCAGUGAAAUUGUAGUGGAGGUGAAAAUUCCUCCUACCCGCGGCAAGACGGAAAGACCCCGUGGACCUUUACUAUAGCUUGACACUGCUACUUGGAUAAAGAUGCGCAGGAUAGGUGGGAGGCUUCGAUUCGUAGAUCUCGGUUUACGAUGAGCCAUUGUUGAGAUACCACUCUUCUUUAUUCGGGUAGCUAACUAGCCUAAGUUAUCCUUAGGUAGGACAAUGUCUGGUGGGUAGUUUGACUGGGGCGGUCGCCUCCCAAAAUGUAACGGAGGCUUACAAAGGUUGGCUCAAAGCGGUUGGAAAUCGCUUGCAGAGUAUAAAGGCAAAAGCCAGCUUAACUGCGAGACAUACACGUCGAGCAGAGACGAAAGUCGGUCUUAGUGAUCCGGUGGUUCUGUGUGGAAGGGCCAUCGCUCAAAGGAUAAAAGGUACCCCGGGGAUAACAGGCUGAUCUCCCCCAAGAGCUCACAUCGACGGGGAGGUUUGGCACCUCGAUGUCGGCUCAUCGCAUCCUGGGGCUGGAGCAGGUCCCAAGGGUAUGGCCGUUCGCCAUUUAAAGCGGUACGCGAGCUGGGUUCAGAACGUCGUGAGACAGUUCGGUCCCUAUCUGCCGUGGGCGUAAGAAGAUUGAGGAGAGUUGACCCUAGUACGAGAGGACCGGGUUGAACCGACCACUGGUGUACCGGUUGUUCUGCCAAGAGCACCGCCGGGUAGCUAAGUCGGGAUGCGAUAAGAGCUGAAAGCAUCUAAGCUCGAAGCCGACUCCAAGAUGAAUCUUCUUUUAAGAGCUCUAGUAGACUACUAGUUUGAUAGGCCGGAUGUGUAAUGGAUGAAAGUCCUUUAGCUGACCGGUACUAAUAGCUCGUUUGCUUAUCUU